AGUUAAUACUUACAAUACACUGUGAGGUAAAUGCUACAGUUUUAGCUUAUAGCCCAGAAAGCUAGCUCAGAGAAAUGAGAUGUCUGAAUACUACUUAACUGCAAGCUUCUGUGACCCAUUUGGCUAUCUCUACUUCCACCCAUAUUUUUUCUCCACUCAAAGCUAUCAUUUGUCAUUUCCUUGCUAUUUUAUAAUUUUUAUUUUAUAAUCAGUUAUUUCAACACAUAACCUCAUGAGGUAUCUUUUGUGCAUAAUUCUGAUUAGAUUUUAAUACCACUAAUAUUUUCUUCUUUAGGAAAGGUGUUCUUGUUUACUUUCAGAUGAUAUUAUGUGUCUUGGAUCCAAGGUGGGAAAAGGGGAUAGUCAUGGAAAGAAAAUAUUAAGCCCAUCAUCAAGCAGGGUUUUAACUUCUCUUCCACUCUCUCUUUAUUUCUUGCUUUUAGAGAAUUUGAAGAAUUGACUGUGAAUGCCAUCUUGGAAUUCUGAUCUCUCAGAUCUCAGAGAUACCCAUAGUUUACUUUUAGGUCAAGCUGAAUCUCUACAUCACUAAGAGAUUCCUUGAUGGAAGUGAGAGAUGGCCAAGUGGGAAGAAAGUGGAACCAAUGGGAAAGCCUUCACUACAUAGCAUCAUUGGCUUUGGAAUUAACAGCUUCAGAUGCCAAACAUGGAUGAAAUGCUGACUUUGAGCAACUGUUUGGAUCAGCAGGUGUGACAAAACUCCUGAAAAAGCAGCUUCAUAAAGAAAGGUUUUCUUUUGGCUUUUAGUUUCUUCGUUUCGGAGAAUGUAUGGCAGAAUGGCUCAGGCUGUGGAUGGAAGAAAAGCCAGCAGACAUCCAUAUCCGCAUUCUACACCUCCUGGCCUGUGAUGAUAUGAGCUUCUCUGCUCUGCCAUGCACUGCCUGCCAUGAUGGACUGAGCCCUCUGAGGUCAUGAAAAAAGGAUGGACUGAGCCCUCUGAGGUCAUGAAAGAAUUUUCCCUACCAGGACACAAGGCUGACACCUUCUACUGAGGACUAUGGAAUUAGUCAGGAACCAACACAGCCUGGAGGAGCAAUGCCUAUAGGAUCACACUAUCCAUGAGCAAAGAAAGAUUGCAAGAACUUCAAAAAGAACCCAGAACAAGACAGAGAACACACUGUUCCAAGCCAUGGAGUAGUAGAGAAAGGUUUCCCAGUAUGUGCUCUACAGACUGGCAGCAUCCACACCUCUUUUUUUUUGGUGGUAGAGCAUAAAUACUCUCUACUACCACAAAUUAUGCAGCCGACUUUCCUGCAUUUGGAGAAAUCAUGGGUUAGCAUCCCUGGAGUGCAAUGGAUGAGCCUCACCUUAGGAAAAUCACCCUCAUGAUCAUGAGAUCUCCCCUGCCAGGAGGAUCAUCAGCAUGGUGUAAAGCUAACCAUGGUCCUGGGAGUCAGACUGCCUGGGCUCAACAUGACUUUGUGUUUCCAGCGGAUUCAUUCACCUUAGUUCUAACCUGGCACCGAAGUCCUUGGAAACUCCUGGAGAAUCAUUGGUCUUCUUCUGUGCAUUCUGGAAAGCCAAAGGAGAUGGUAUCUGAUGUCAGCAGAGAACGACAGUGACAGCAACAGAGAAAGAUGCUCAGGAAGAAGGCGGCAGGCAUGCAGGCAGUGCUGAUUAUGUGGGAGCCACAGGUGUAUGUGAUGUGACCUGCUGCUUCAAACUCCUGCUACUAUGGCUUCCCUGCUGUGAUGGUUUGCAACUUAAACUCUUCUCUCCUGCAUGAUGCUGAAGAGCAGGUGCCUUGUCUGUCUUCUUUGUGCCUUGUGAGCACUUGCUGGGACAGAGUGGACACUUAACUGAGAUCUGUGGAUGAAUGAUAAAGCAGUAGUGUGGAUACUCUAGGAGCAUCUUGCUCAACAGUCUCUUUUGGAUCCUCAUAAUUCUCCCUUUUCUAGGACACCUGUAUUUCUUGCCUGUAAAUUGGAAGAUUUUUAAGAAGCUGGAUACACAAGGAGUAAGAUGAACAGUCAGAAAGCCUUACUCUCAGAAUGACUUCUGCAAGGGAAUGUGUGGAAGAGAAGCAGUGUAUGGUAUAGAAACAAGAACAGGCUAUUCUCUGAGUACAUGGGGAGGGAAAAUGACAUGCAGAGUGGGUAUCCAAGUCCAUGGAAUGGAACGGCUCACAUUUAUGAUGGAUCUUCACCUCAAUCAGCCUAACCUAGAUGAUCCCCUACAGACAACUCAUUUCAAUGAACCUUUCUCACAGCUUUCCUUGGGAAGAGAGAUGUCCAGCAGCAGCAAGUUCAAGCUCAAAGGAAAUAAAAAGAUUUGGCCAUGCUACAGGCAUCUGUGAUAGAAGACCAGGAGACCCCAUUUGUGGAUUGCUGCUCUGAGAGUCUGUGCUACUGGUCUUAUAUUCAAGAAGUUGUCUCCUAUGCCAAUGUGUUCAAGGCUUCUUCUUACUUUGUCUUCUACCAGACUCCUGCUGAUGGUGAAGGGCUGAGUUUGGUUAUGAGAACUCGUCAGGACAGCCACUACUGGCAGUGGCCAUGCCAAUAUUGUGGGCUGGGGUUCCCAUGUACAAGACAGGUGCUGUUCAGAUACAGCCACAAUCACAAUCAAGUUUGUUGUGGCCAGAAAUAUGUAAAAGAGUCUCAAACUAAGAACUCUGUCACUUCACAGAAACAAGGCUUGAAGUUGUUUUGAACUAGGACUCUUCUAAAUAUCCUGAAUUCCAGUCUCAUCCAUUGACUAUGAGAGGAACAAGACUUUAUCCACACUAUGACUCUAAGAAGAAGUUGAAAUGUGGUAUAUUUAUACAAUGGAGUACUAUUCAGCAGAAAAAUGCAAUGGAAUCUUGAAAUUCGCAGGCAAAUGGAUGGAACUAGAAGAAACAAUCCUGAGUGAGGUAACCCAAUCACAAAAAGACAAACAUGGUAUGUACUCACUCAUAUAUGAUUUUUAGACAUAGAGCAAAGGUUUACCAGCCUAUAAUCCUCUUCCCCAAAGAAACUAGAAAUCAUGAAUGACUCUAAGGGAUAAAUGGACCCCAGGAAUGGGAAGUGGCAUGAACUCCCGAGCUAAUUGAGAGCAUGAGGGUAGGGGAGUGGGUGCUGCCACAAUAAGAGCACAAGAAGAAGAGGAGAGGAGAAGAAAUGGAGAAGCAGAUAUAUUGAGUUGGGGGAAGAAUAGAGGAGAGAGAGCAGGAUAAGAGAUACCAUAUCAGAGGGAGCCACUAUAGGUCCGACAAGAGAUCUGGAACUAGAAAGAUCUCCAGAGACCUACAAGGAUGACACGAUCUGACAGUCCAGGCAGUGGAGGAGAGGAUGGCCUAGAAGCCCUUCCCCUAGAAUGAGAUUGAUGACUACUCUCUAUGCUAUCCUAGAGUCCUCAUCCAGUGGCUGAUGGAAGCAGAGACAGACAUCCACAGAAAUACACUGAGCUGAAAUCUGGAACCUAGUUGAAGAGAGGGAGGAAUGAAGAACGAAGGGGUCUGUACCAGAGACUUCAUCCAGUAGCUGUUCGAAGCAGAAACAGGCACCCACAGCUAAGCACUGAACCAUACUCCUGGAAUCCAGUUGUGGAGACGGAGGACAGAUGAGCAAAGGAGCCAAAACAGUGCUGCAGAAACCCGCAGAAACAGUUGACCUGACCUAGUGAGAGCAUGGAGACACUAGUCAUAAAACUGCAGAAACAGCAUUGGACCGAACCAAGCCCUCUGAAUGUGGGUGCCAGCUAGGUAGCCAAGUCAGUCUAUGGGACCUCUAACAGUGGAGCCAGUCUUUAACCCUAGAGCACAAAUGGACUUUGGGAGCCCAUUCCCUAUGGAGGGAUACUAUUGUAGCUCAGAUACAGCAAGGAAGGCCUAGGCCCUCCCCCAAACAAUACGACAGACUUUGAAGGUCCCUGGUAGAGGACCUCACUAUCCCUGG
rnacentral:lncRNA from 1 species